UUAAUUUUCGAUAUGCUAAACAGAACGCCCGUGUAAUAUAAACCAAGUUCCGGUUAUUCCGGCUUAGAAAUGAAUAUUUAAGCAACCUUUUCACCCAUAAUAAAUCAAUGAGACUCGUAAAUUACUCUGCAUUCGUACGUUCCAUGUCAACGAGAGAACAGAUCUGGUUGGUUUGGUAAUAUAGGAGGAAAAGCCAUAUACUGUAAUCUAAAGUUCGAACAAGUUAUGGGGAUAUAUUUGAGUUUGAUGUUCAGAGACUAUCGGAGAAUGUUUAGUGAAAUGCAAGAUUUGACGAACGUGCAGAUAUGUCAGCAAUGCGAAUCACACAUGCAACAAAUUAAGACGACGGGUGUGUCUGAGGACAUGGUCGACGGUAUCAUUCCUGUUCAGGUCGACAAAAACAACAACAAGCAAUGCCAUUGUCGGUAUAAGAUCAAAAUAUUGACGUUUGCAGAACAAGAACACAGAAAGAAGGAGGCAGCGAAGGAAAGGAGCAGAAUAUCUUUUCAGUACGAAAUAAGAAGUACAUCAUAUGUUCGACAAACGUCUCGAGGGAGUUAGCUCUAAAGAGAUACGACGAUAUUCCUUAGAGGAAAGACUCCUUCAUACAGCGAGUGAAUACUAAAACUUAGGAAAUGCAAUGAACUGUAAAAAUCUAGACGAGACGAAACUCAAAUUGCUAACUUAUUUGUAAAUAUUACCUUAAUAUAAUAGACUAUUCAGCAGACAAAUAACUUUGCUAUAAACACUAGAUUAGUAGAAAAAUUGUUAACAUACAGUAUAUACCUUGUACAAAGUAUUAUUAUAUAACUAGAGUACAAUUUAUGCGCAGGUGAGCAUCUUCCUAUGGAACCUCGCGCAAUAUAAAUCUAAGUAAUAAUAAUAAUAAUAAUUCUAUGUCCAUAGGUUUUAAACCUAUGAAGAAAGUAUGAGAAUUUUCUCUCAAAAUAAAUUUAUUUAAAACGUUAUAUCCAAGUGAUGUGGUAAACAUAACGAUAUUUCAAAAUGGGUUGUAC